AGGCUCUCCCUGGAUAUUCCCUCCAAGGAAAACCCAUUCCUCGUUUUGGAGGAUUCGUGGCAUUUAUAGAUCUGCAAUAAUUUGGGAUUUAUCAGAGCCAGGAUUUCUCGGGAAUACUCACAGCUCCGGAGCCGCCGCGCCAGGUGGAGCAUGGCUGGAAAUGCUCCGGAUUUUCCCAAAUCCUCCGAGCAUCCCCUUCCUCCCACUCUCCGCCGGGCUGCGAGCGGCGCCGGGAGCAGCUGGGACUGGGAAUUGCUGCGUGGGAAGAGGGGAAAAAAAAAUAUAUAUAUAUAAAAAAAUCCGCGUAAAUCCAGCGGCGCUGCUGUUCCCCCUCUGGAAGAUGUAGGACACU